rnacentral:rRNA from 1 species
GAUCCUGGCUCAGAAUCAACGCUGGCGGCGUGCCUAACACAUGCAAGUCGCACGAGAAAGUGGAGCAAUCCAUGAGUACAGUGGCGCACGGGUGAGUAACACGUGACUAACCUACCCUCGAGUGGGGAAUAACUUCGGGAAACCGAGGCUAAUACCGCAUAACACUUACGAGUCAAAGCAGCAAUGCGCUUGGGGAGGGGGUCGCGGCAGAUUAGCUAGUUGGUGAGGUAAUGGCUCACCAAGGCGAUGAUCUGUAUCCGGCCUGAGAGGGCGCACGGACACACUGGAACUGAAACACGGUCCAGACUCCUACGGGAGGCAGCAG